GGUCGCAUAGCUCAGUUGGAAGAGUGCUACCUUAACACCUUACUGGUGGAGGUCGGUAAUGGUCGACGGUUCGAACCCGCCUGCGAUCA